rnacentral:rRNA from 1 species
AGAUUGAACGCUGGCGGAAUGCUUUACACAUGCAAGUCGAGCGGCAGCGCGGGGCAACCUGGCGGCGAGCGGCGAACGGGUGAGUAAUGCAUCGGAACGUGUCCAUGUCGUGGGGGAUAGCCCGGCGAAAGCCGGAUUAAUACCGCAUACGCCCGAGAGGGGGAAAGUGGGGGACCGCAAGGCCUCACGCGAUUGGAUCGGCCGAUGUCCGAUUAGCUAGUUGGCGGGGUAAAGCCCACCAAGGCGAUGAUCGGUAGCUGGUCUGAGAGGAUGAUCAGCCACACUGGGACUGAGACACGGCCCAGACUCCGACGGAGGGUCAGCAGUGGGUAAGUUUGGACAAGUCGGGGACAACCCGUGAUCCAGCCAUUCCGCGUGAGGUAGAAGAACGGUCCGUUCGGGUAGUAAGUCUUCGUUUGUACCGGAACGUAAACGGGUA